UUAACCAAAUUAAUCCUAACCCCUAAACUAACCCUAGCCACCACAUUCAUCUUAAUUUUUCCUAACCUAAUCUGCAAAAGGGGGAAACAAAAGAAAGGGAAAGAAAGAAGAAGGGGGGGGCACGAGAGGAAGAAAGAACUGAGAGGAUGAGGGGGAAAGGAAGGGGACGGCGCCGGCGGGGCUGGGAGCCGCCGUCGCCGUCGAGUCAUUAAGAAAGAGAGAGAGAGAGAGAGGCCGCGACUGGAAGGAGAGAGAGAAGCUGCCCUGCGUCUUGCUGCCGCCGUCGCCCUCAUCCCGAAUCGUCGUCAUCGCCGAUGCAGGGAGAGGAGCCGUCGCAUCGUCGCCGCUGUUGGGUCGCCGUGCUAUCGUCAGAGAGCAAAGAGCGUACGCGAAGAAGGAGAAGCCCUGCCUUCGUGUCCGCCGUCGCCGCCUCUGAAUCCUUCGCCAUCAAGCGGAGCCACGGGCAGAGGGGAGAGAUCCGUGAGGAAGGGAGGACUGCGACCCGUCCAGCCGCCGCGCACAGUCGCCGCUCGUGUCGCCGGCGCCAUCCUCGUCAGAUCCGCCACCUCCGAAGCUUCUGGCCGCGCCUUCGCCGCUGGAGAACGCCGCUGCCGCCCAGAAAUCGCCACUGAAGCUUAGGUCUACUUGUCACCGCAAGUUUCUCUGUGGUGCGCCGCCGUCAGCUGCCGCCGUGGCCACCACUGAACUCUACGCUGCCGUUAGUCACUGAUGGAGAUUGAAUAUUGAUGCUAGUGUUGUCGUGGGACUGUUGAAGUUGCUACUAGUUCUAGUUUUGUUAUCCUGGGUUGAAAUUGCUAUUAAUUCCUAUCCAAUCUGAAUCUUUUAUUUUGCUGCAACCAUGACCAAUGCGGUGAAGAUUAACAUUACCGCUACUGCUGUUUCGGUUGCUGCCAUUGCCGUUCUAAUUGCGUGAGAGUCGCAUCGGCUACCAUGAAUUAAAAGGAGAGGGAAUUAUCACGAUAAAUUUGUGCGAAUUCAGUUAAUCGAGGAACCGGAAGAAACGUUAUGAAGAGUUACACUGCGUUUGGCUUACAUGUUGUAUUCAUUAGAUUAUUUUCUUCCCUCGUCUUUGUUAUUACAAGUUUGUAAGAGGGAUAGGAAUUGUAUGUUUUAUAUGUAUAAUAUAUUGAGUUAUUUUGUAAGGAGUCUUGUAUAUGAAACUAUGCCUGCUUGUAUUUUUCUUAAGAUAAAAUAUUUAUUUCUAGCUUUCAAA